rnacentral:lncRNA from 1 species
GUUUUGUUUUGUUGACUCACAUUUCCCCUGUUGAGUGAGUUAUUUUUAUUUAUUUGUACAACUGCACAUGUUGAGCUUUACACAUAACUGAGGAUGUUGCUGUCCAUCCAGGUUCACAAUGCUCAGUUUUGAAUGUUGGGUACCAAGCUGAAGAAGCAGUGCAGUACGUUCACCAUGCACCAAGUGAAAGUUGAUUCCUGCAGUAGCAGUUGCAUAAAGUGACAACAUUUACUACUGUUGUGAAGAGCUGCAGUUCUGUAUGUGAAGCAUCUUGAUCUGAAAAAUAGUCCUGUACAUCCCUGACAAUAAAUUUUAAGGUAUCGAACUUCGCA